rnacentral:rRNA from 1 species
AACGAACGCUGGCGGCAGGCUUAACACAUGCAAGUCGAACGCCGUAGCAAUACGGAGUGGCGGACGGGUGAGUAACACGUGGGAACGUACCUUUUGGUUCGGAACAACUCAGGGAAACUUGAGCUAAUACCGGAUGAGCCCUUAGGGGGAAAGAUUUAUCGCCGAAAGAGCGGCCCGCGUUAGAUUAGCUAGUUGGUGAGGUAAAGGCUCACCAAGGCAACGAUCUAUAGCUGGUCUGAGAGGAUGAUCAGCCACACUGGGACUGAGACACGGCCCAGACUCCUACGGGAGGCAGCAGUGGGGAAUCUUGCGCAAUGGGCGAAAGCCUGACGCAGCCAUGCCGCGUGAAUGAUGAAGGUCUUAGGAUUGUAAAAUUCUUUUACCAGGGACGAUAAUGACGGUACCUGGAGAAAAAGCCCCGGCUAACUUCGUGCCAGCCGCCGCCGUAAAAC